UACGUAGGUGGCAAGCGUUGUCCGGAUUUACUGGGCGUAAAGAGCGCGCAGGCGGUCGUCCAAGUCGCGUGUGAAAGCCCCCCGGCUCAACUGGGGAGGGUCACGCGAUACUGGUCGACUCGAAGGCAGGAGAGGGUAGUGGAAUUCCCGGUGUAGUGGUGAAAUGCGUAGAUAUCGGGAGGAACACCUGUGGCGAAAGCGGCUCACUGGACGGUAACUGACGCUGAGACGCGAAAGCGUGGGUAGCAAACAGG
rnacentral:rRNA from 1 species